GGCACCACCAGGGGGAGCCUGCGGCUUAAUUUGACUCAA
rnacentral:rRNA from 1 species